ACAGUUUUGACCGACAAAAGAACAGGGGGAGGAGAAAGAAGGGGAAGGGCUAUGAGGUGAAAGGCAGAUCAGAAAUAAGCCCAGCUUGGAAGAAAGUGAGGAUCCCAACCUGGCAGAGAAAGAGGAGCUGAUGAAGGAGACUAGAGAAGGACCCGUCUGGAAAUACAGAACUUGGUCCAAGUAAAGGAGGACCUUGAAGGAAAUACACCUGAGAGACCAAAUGCAUACAAUGAAUCCAGCAAUUACCAACCACCAUGGGCGGACAGCAAAUGCUCAAACAACAAAACACCCAAGGAUGGGCGGCUGCUGGCUUCUGACUUUCCUCAUGGGGAUGGGGGUCCCAGAUCUGGGUCUAGGACUCCCUCCCACUUCUGUCCUGGGACAGCUGAUUUCAAUACUGCCAAAGACGUGGAACUUUUCUUAAGAAGGUUCUCUCCUGAUUUAUUUUGAGUAAACAACUGAUACAGGUUAUGUAUAGUGCUGGGAAAACUAAUGCAGAGAAAGAGGAGGGACAUAACUAGUUUUGUUGUCAUCUGUGGAACAUUUAAUUGCAAAAUUGUUGAAAGGAAAAUUAGACCUCUCUUUCCCCCUCCCCGCCCCCCCAAGUAUGGCUUUGGCAGAAAAAUCCCAAAGAAAAUUAGAAAGUGGAGAUUAAGGGUGAAGAUAGGGAGAGACAUUCAAAAACACCACCACCAUUUCAUACCUUUGGGGCUGAGUUCUUUAGUCAUUCAACAAGCAUUUCUUGACCACAUUCUAUGUAUUGGACACCGUUUUACUGAGCAAGACAAUUUAGAAUGAGGUUGUGAACAUGAACUUGGAGCUACCUGGGUUUGUAAUCCCAGUUCAGCCACCUACUAGCUACGUGUCCUUGAGCCAUCUACUUAAACUAUCUGUGCCUCCUUUCUCUCACUUGUUGAAUGGAAAUAAUACCAUUAAGUCCUUCAUAAGGUCUCUGUGAAAUGGAAAUAAUAAUAUUUCUUACCCCAUAGGGUCAUUGUGAGGAUUAAAUUGGUUAAUGCCUGUGAAGCACUUAGAAAAAUUCUUGGUACAUAUUAACUACCAAGUACAUAUUAGCUCUUAUUUGGUGGUGAUGUUGUGUUGCUGUUUAACAUGAACGAAUGUGCCAUGUGACAUUUUGCGUAAAUGAUGAUGAAAGGGAAGAAACAUUACCCCAAACCUAUUAGUGAAAGACUGGGUAGACAUGGUUUUUACUCAUGCUCCCUCCUGCAGAUAGUAAAUUACUUAGGAAGUUGUUUUUGUCACUUUCUACUUUGGUCCCCAAACAUCAAGAACAUGGUUUCUUUAAAUAAUUCUUGAAAAAUUGUUAGAACAACAAUGAUAUGGGCUAUCCAUAGGAACAUGUAGAAAGCAUGUUUGCAAUCACCUACCUGAAAAUUAGAAUUAUCAUCUUGGGUAUGUUAAAUUGAAUUAAGUUUGGCCCAAAGCUGCCUCCAUCCAUAUUUUAAGGUUGGCCUAACAGCUUCUCCACGCAUAGCAAACUGUAACCUAACCUGAUGGUUAAACAGACAGUAGCCUACGAUUGUAACAAGUAGCCAAGUCUCAGUCAAUCUGAGCAGUUGAGUUUCAGCCAAUCAUGGGGACCAACUGUUCAACCUGUGUUCUUAAAAGGCGAACACUGAGCUAUCACCAAUUCAGCUGUUUCUGUACCCACUUCUAUUUUGUGUACGUCACUUUUCUUUUUCUGUCUGUAAAUAUUAUCCAUGCAGCAGUCCUGGGGUUGCUCUGAAUCUAUUCUGGUUUGGGGGUGGGGCGGGGUGGGGGGGUGCCCGAUUCAUGAGUCGUUGUUUGUUCCUACAUUCUGUUAAAU
rnacentral:lncRNA from 1 species